UACGGGGGGGGCAAGCGUUGUUCGGAAUCACUGGGCGUAAAGGGCUCGUAGGCGGCCAACUAAGUCAGCCGUGAAAUCCCUCGGCUUAACCGGGGAACUGCGUCUGAUACUGGAUGGCUUGAGUUCGGGAGAGGGAUGCGGAAUUCCAGGUGUAGCGGUGAAAUGCGUAGAUAUCUGGAGGAACACCGGUGGCGAAGGCGGCACCCUGGGCCGACACUGACGCUGAGGAGCGAAAGCCAGGGGAGCAAACGGG
rnacentral:rRNA from 1 species